GUUUCCUUUAUUCUCACCAGCAUAAAAUAUUUGUUGGCCUCACGGGGCCCUGUGCCCAGCUGUCUCUCCAGGACGGGGGUUGGCGAAUCUAUGCAGAGAAAUUUCACGCAGAUGAUGCAGUCUCCCAAAGAAGUAAACACAGAAGAACCUGGUACAUCAGGAAAAGAUAUGGCUGUCUGACACUAUCAAACUCUCAAAGCAAAUUAAAAUUACAGCAGUCUUUGCAUUGCAUUUGAAUGCAACCAGAGGACAGUCCCUGCAAAAAAGGC
rnacentral:lncRNA from 1 species